GCCUGGGUGGCUCAGUCGGUUGAGCAUCUGACUUCAGCUCAGGUCACGAUCUCGCGGUCCGUGAGUUCAAGCCCCACGUCGGGCU
rnacentral:tRNA from 1 species